AUGCCAGACUCCUACGGGAGGCAGCAGUGAGGAAUAUUGGUCAAUGGGCGAGAGCCUGAACCAGCCAAGUCGCGUGAAGGAUGAAGGCUCUAUGGUUUGUAAACUUCUUUUAUAUGGGAAUAAAGUGAGGAACGUGUUCCUUUUUGUAUGUACCAUAUGAAUAAGCAUCGGCUAACUCCGUGCCAGCAGCCGCGGUAAUACGGAGGAUGCGAGCGUUAUCCGGAUUUAUUGGGUUUAAAGGGUGCGUAGGCGGGACCUUAAGUCAGCGGUAAAAUUGCGGUGCUCAACGCCGUAGAGCCGUUGAAACUGGGGUUCUUGAGUGAGCGAGAAGUAUGCGGAAUGCGUGGUGUAGCGGUGAAAUGCAUAGAUAUCACGCAGAACCCCGAUUGCGAAGGCAGCAUACCGGCGCUCAACUGACGCUGAGGCACGAAAGCGUGGGUAUCGAACAGGAUUAGAUACCCUGGUA
rnacentral:rRNA from 1 species